GCACAUCUCAGUUGGUUCAGAGCUGGCGCUGAUAACACCAAGGUUGCAGGUUCGAUCCCCGUUUGGGACA
rnacentral:tRNA from 1 species